UAGGAUACAGUGUAUGUCCUAGGUAAAGACACUCAGAUGGGGAGAUAAAGAGAUGGUUAGGAUACAGUGUAUGUCCUAGGUAAAGACACUCAGAUGGGGAGAUAAAGAGAUGGUUAGGAUACAGUGUAUGUCCUAGGUAAAGACACUCAGAUGGGGAGAUAAAGAGAUGGUUAGGAUACAGUGUAUGUCCUAGGUAAAGACACUCAGAUGGGGAGAUAAAGAGAUGGUUAGGAUACAGUGUAUGUCCUAGGUAAAGACACUCAGAUGGGGAGAUAAAGAGAUGGUUAGGAUACAGUGUAUGUCCUAGGUAAAGACACUCAGAUGGAGAGAUAAAGAGAUGGUUAGGAUACAGUGUAUGUCCUAGGUAAAGACACUCAGAUGGGGAGAUGAAGAGAUGGUUAGGAUACAGUGUAUGUCCUAGGUAAAGACACUCAGAUGGGGAGAUAAAGAGAUGGUUAGGAUACAGUGUAUGUCCUAGGUAAAGACACUCAGAUGGGGAGAUAAAGAGAUGGUUAGGAUACAGUGUAUGUCCUAGGUAAAGACACUCAGAUGGGGAGAUAAAGAGAUGGUUAGGAUACAGUGUAUGUCCUAGGUAAAGACACUCAGAUGGGGAGAUAAAGAGAUGGUUAGGAUACAGUGUAUGUCCUAGGUAAAGACACUCAGAUGGAGAGAUAAAGAGAUGGUUAGGAUACAGUGUAUGUCCUAGGUAAAGACACUCAGAUGGGGAGAUAAAGAGAUGGUUAGGAUACAGUGUAUGUCCUAGGUAAAGACACUCAGAUGGGGAGAUAAAGAGAUGGUUAGGAUACAGUGUAUGUCCUAGGUAAAGACACUCAGAUGGGGAGAUAAAGAGAUGGUUAGGAUACAGUGUAUGUCCUAGGUAAAGACACUCAGAUGGGGAGAUAAAGAGAUGGUUAGGAUACAGUGUAUGUCCUAGGUAAAGACACUCAGAUGGGGAGAUAAAGAGAUGGUUAGGAUACAGUGUAUGUCCUAGGUAAAGACACUCAGAUGGGGAGAUA